rnacentral:rRNA from 1 species
UACGUAGGGUGCAAGCGUUAAUCGGAAUUACUGGGCGUAAAGCGUGCGCAGGCGGUUGUGCAAGACAGAUGUGAAAUCCCCGGGCUUAACCUGGGAACUGCAUUUGUGACUGCACGGCUAGAGUGUGUCAGAGGGGGGGUAGAAUUCCACGUGUAGCAGUGAAAUGCGUAGAUAUGUGGAGGAAUACCGAUGGCGAAGGCAGCCACCUGGCAUAAUACUGACGCUGAGGCGCGAAAGCGUGGGGAGCGAACAGG